CACCAGAGAGUAGAAAAUCCAGUCUCCUAAAAGAACAAUGUGGAAUCAGUGGGAAAGAGAAAGGUGCAAGGAAGACAGAUGUCGGGCUUGAGACGGCCUGUUUUUAAAUCGAAGGAUGAAAAACUAACAACUCACAAUCGUUGUUACCAGAACCCAUGGUAGACGCCAAGCAGGAGCAGGAGCAGCAGCAGGACGUCUGGCGUCGUAAAGGCAGAAGCCGCAGAGCCUGGCCAGCUGCAAAGUUGUGGAAAUACUUGGGAGAUGCUUGUGUGGCCUUCCUCUAUUUGAUAUGAAGACUGUACACUUGCAAUCUAUAAAGAGGCUGUGCUUCCGGUCUUAUGUUUGAGGGACUGUUCAUACGUGGUUCGCGGGAUCGUUUAUGUACAGUUCGAGGGACUCCAAACUCGAUCUUCAUCGCCACGUUCUUUUUUCGCUGCAACUUGAUAAAGGUAACGAU
rnacentral:lncRNA from 1 species